AUGCUUAACACAUGCAAGUCGAACGGUCUCUUCGGAGAUAGUGGCGGACGGGUGAGUAACGCGUGAGAACAUGCCUUUAGAUUGGGGACAACAGUUGGAAACGACUGCUAAUACCGAAUGUGCCUUAGGGUGAAAGAUUUAUUGUCUAGAGAUUGGCUCGCGUCAGAUUAGCUAGUUGGAGUGGUAACGCACACCAAGGCGACGAUCUGUACUUNGUCUGAGAGGAUGACCAGGCACACUGGAACUGAGACACGGUCCAGACUCCUACGGNAGGCNGCAGUGGGGAAUUUUAAGCAAUGGGCGAAAGNNUGACGGAGCAAUACCGCGUGAGGGAGGACGGNUUUUGGGUUGUAAACCUCUUUUAUCAGGGAAGAAUCGAUGACGGUACCUGAUGAAUCAGCAUCGGCUAACUCCGUGCCAGCAGCCGCNGUAAUACGGAGGAUGCAAGCGUUAUCCGGAAUUAUNGGGCGUAAAGCGUUCCGUAGGUGGUUUAUCAAGUCUGCUGUCAAAGCGUGCGGCUUAACCGCAUAAGGGCAGUGGAAACUGAUGAACUAGAGUGCGAUAGGGGUAACAGGAAUUCCCAGUGUAGCGGUGAAAUGCGUAGAUAUUGGGAAGAACACCAGCGGCGAAANGUGUUACUGGGUCUGCACUGACACUGAGGGACGAAAGCUAGGGGAGCGAAAGGGAUUAGAUACCCCUGUAGUCCUANCCGUAAACGAUGACAACUAGGCGUGGUUCGUAUCGACCCGAGCCGUGCCGUAGCCAACGCGUUAAGUUGUCCGCCUGGGGAGUACGCACGCAAGUGUGAAACUCAAAGGAAUUGACGGGGGCCCGCACAAGCGUGGAGUAUGUGGUUUAAUUCGAUGCAACGCGAAGAACCUUACCAAGGCUUGACAUCCUCGGAACCCUGAUGAAAGUUAGGGGUGCCUUCGGGAGCCGAGAGACAGGUGGUGCAUGGCUGUCGUCAGCUCGUGUCGUGAGAUGUUGGGUUAAGUCCCGCAACGAGCGCAACCCACGUUUUUAGUUGCCAGCAUUCAGUUGGGCACUCUAGAGAGACUGCCGGUGACAAACCGGAGGAAGGUGUGGAUGACGUCAAGUCAGCAUGCCCCAUACGCCUUGGGCUACACACGUACUACAAUGNGUCGGACAAAGAGCAGCCAGCCAGCGAUGGUGAGCCAAUCUCAUAAACCGGCGCUCAGUUCAGAUUGCAGGCUGCAACUCGCCUGCAUGAAGGCGGAAUCGCUAGUAAUCGCAGGUCAGCAUACUGCGGUGAAUACGUUCCCGGGCCUUGUACACACCGCCCGUCACACCAUGGGAGUUGGUCACGCCCGAAGUCGUUACUCUAACUGCUUGCAGAGGAGGACGCCGAAGGUGGGGCUGAUGACUGGGGUGAAGUCGUAACAAGGUAGCCGUACCGGAAGGUGUGGCUGGAUCACCUCCUUA
rnacentral:rRNA from 1 species